CCCGGCACUGCGGUAAUAUGGCUCCGUAGCGGGCGGCCCCGCGUCGCUGCUGCCGCCGCCAUUAACCCCUGUGUGGCCGGUGGCGGCCGGGGGGCGGCGCGGGGGGCUCAUGCGAGGAUGAGCUCGGCCGCCGGCCCCGCCGCUCUGCCCCUGCCGCCGGGCUCCGCCGCGCGGGCCUGGCAUGUGGAGCUGCCCUCGCAGCAGCGUCGGCUUCGUCAUCUGCGGAAUAUUGCUGCACGUAACAUCAUCAAUAAGAAUGGUUAUCGCCUCUUGGAUACUUACUUCACUCUUCAUUUGUGUGAUAACACCAAGAUAUACAAAGAAUUUUAUAAGAGUGAAGUCAUCAAGAAUUCUCUGAACCCAACAUGGAGGAGCCUGGACUUUGGAAUAAUGCCCGAUCGCCUUGAUACGUCCGUCUCGUGUUUUGUUGUGAGGAUCUGGGGUGGCAAGAAGGAGCACUAUCAGCUUCUGAUAGAAUGGAAAGUUAAUCUAGAUGGAUUAAAGUACUUGGGCCAGCAGAUACAUGCAAGAAACCCCAAUGAGAUUAUUUUUGGUCUCAAUGAUGGUUACUAUGGAGCAUCAUUUGAACAGAAGGAUCACUCAGGUACCCUGAAGAAUAGUCUUCUCCAGGUGGAUCAGAACWGUGUUCGUAACUCUUACGAUGUCUUCUCUUUGCUUAGGCUUCACAGAGCCCAGUGUGCAAUUAAACAGACUCAGGUAACUGUCCAAAAAAUAGGAAGGGAGAUUGAAGAAAAGCUGAGAUGUACAUCUACAAGCAAUGAACUGAAAAAGAAGAGUGAAUGUUUACAGUUGAAGAUCCUGGUGCUACAUAAUGAACUGGAGAGGCAGAAGAAGGCCCUGGGUCAAGAAGUAGCCUUACUGCAUAAGCAGCAAAAUAAUUUGCAUGAAAGAGAAAAUGUAUUUCAGACAGAAUACCAGAAGCUUCAAGAGCAUAAUGAAUCCUUGCAUGAAUUAAGGAAGGAAUGCACUGCUAAGAGGGAAUUGUUCUUGAAGACGAAUGCCCAGCUGACUAUUCGAUGCAAGCAACUGCUGACAGAGCUGUCCUAUAUCUACCCUAUUGAUUUGAAUGAUCAAAAGGAUUACUUUGUUUGUGGAGUCAAGCUGCCCAAUUCUGAAGACUUUCAAGCAAAAGAUGACGGGAGCAUUGCUGUUGCCCUGGGCUACACAGCUCAUUUGGUCUCAAUGAUAUCCUACUUCUUACAAGUGCCACUCAGGUAUCCCAUAAUUCACAAGGGCUCCAGGUCUACAAUCAAAGAUAACAUCAACGACAAACUGACAGAGAAGGAGCGAGAAUUCCCUUUAUAUCCAAAAGGAGGAGAGAAGCUUCAGUUUGAAUAUGGAGUAUAUCUUCUCAACAAAAAUAUAGCACAGCUUAGAUAUCAGCAUGGACUGAGUACUCCAGACCUAAGGCAAACUCUUCCCAACCUGAAACACUUCAUGGAGCUUGGGCUAAUGGUUAGAUGUGAUCGACACCACACAUCCAGUGCAAUUCCCGUUCCAAAGAGACAGAGCUCCAGCUUUGGCAGAUUGGAUAUUGGCUUCUCUGGUGGGCUUCCUUCUCCGGAUAAAGGACUCCGAAAACGAGCCAGCACGGGGAAUGAAAGACUGCAGUACAAAACUCCUCCUCCCAGCUACAACUCGGCUUUAGCACAGCCUGUUGCCGUUGCAGCCUGUGUAGGAGAAUUAGACAAAAAACCUGCACCGAUAUCUUCCUCCUUAGAUACCUCCAUGGACACCUCAAAAGCAAAGAGCGAGAGAGGAGGGGCUUUAUGCAGCAGUUUAAACGGGGAAAACGGGAGGCUAAGCAGUACCCAAGAUCAUCAGGAGUCUUUCCUGGUACCUACUAGUGCAAUAAAUGGGGCGCUUCUGCCUGGUGAGUGCUCGGGCACAGCAAGCAACGAGCAGCCCUGCGAGUACCGGCCCUCGGCCUGCUGCACCGUGGAGCAAGCCGAGGAAAUCAUCGGCAUGGAAGCCACCGGAUUCAGCGAGGGGGACCAGCUGGAGGACUUCAACUCCAUCCCGGUGGAGCACGCCGUGGCGGUGGAGUGCGACGAGCAAGUCCUGGGGGAGUUUGAGGAGUUCUCCCGAAGGAUCUAUGCACUGAACGAAAACAUGUCCAGUUUCCGCAGGCCGCGGAAAAGUUCGGACAAAUGAGCUCGGACAGGGGGGUUUCGGGGUAGCAGACAUUGAGGUGAAAUCAGUGAUCUGGAACAGAGAUAAAAUUGCACUUAUUCUUUAUAGUAAUUAUGAAAAAAAGCUAAAGUUAUUCCUCUGGUGUUAGACAAAUGGACUUGUAACCGAGCACGAUAACACAGGAUCAUGGUAUAUUCACAGCCCAGGUAAAUUUUGAUUCUGCUUCCAGUCUUAUAUCUAUUAUUUAUGAUCUGUUCAGUUUUCUUUUGGGUAUCGAAGUCCAUUGUGAAAUGCUUUCCUGGGGUAAAAAAAAAAAGACUUCUAGUGCUGGUCAGGCCCUUCUAUGAAUAUUUGUUUAUUAUUUUAGAGUUAAAAUUUAUUUUAAUCUUUGCAGAAGAAAACGAAGUUAAUUUAAAAAUGCAUUUAUAGCAAGACCAGCAGACACACACCUCUUUACUUUCUCCCAUGUGCUCCCAUGGGGUUUUUUUUUUUUGAGCAGUGUAGUCAGUGUUACGGAAAUACCAUGAAUUUGCUCUACCUGAACAGCUUUCUCUUGGCUGUGCUCUUUGUCUUYUGAGGUUGUAGUUUGCACUGAUGGGUCUUCAGUUGGUGGUGUAAACUUGCCAGAGAACGAGCACCUGUGUGAUACCUGUGGUUCCCUUGCACCUCAUUAAUCAAAGCAUUCCCUCCUCCCUCUGUACUCACAGUUCGUACCGGUGGACACCUCAAGUAGAGGCUUUGAGGACUAAAUCGUCUCUAAUGUUUCUUAAUUUUAGGUAAAAACCCUCAGCCUGACCAUUCCAUGCUUAGGUACAGCAUUUCAAACCUCAUCAGCAGAGGCCUAACAAAUGCACUACCUUUUAACAGUUGUGUCUACAGUUGAGUGAUUGGAUCGAGCCUUUCUACAGUGAUUCAUUCUCUUUGGUGUGUUGCAAUAACACGUGCUGGAUGGAAGCGGUCACAAGGAGAGGCUCCAGCUCUGUAGGACAUGGGAAAACGAUUCCAGUUGCAGACUUGGAUGUGGCGUUGGACAUGCUGGACAUGAGGAAAAGAUAGGUGGGAAGUUUUCACCAGUUCUGUCACUGACAUGUUGAGAGCCAAAAGGAAAUAYCUGAAGCAAGCCCAGCACUUGCUGAUGAAGUGGGCACAGAAAUUAGAUACUCUGUCCUCUGCUAGCAAAGAACAGUGGGAAUCCAGAAUAAACCCAGACACUGUCCAGCAGCGUCAAGUUAGUUGUGUACAUUGAAGGGUGGAAGCUGGCACGCUCAAAACAGCACUAAACUUGCAUUUUUUUAAUACUCACUAAUUGCCCUUUACGAAGACAAGGCAUUAGCUUGUGUGUGGUGGUGGCUUCUCAAACCAACCCAAAGAGUAGCCAUGGAGUUGCUCUCUUCCUUAGAGCAACCCAUGCGAUUAGGUUCACAAAACAGCAGCAGAACUCUCUUAUUUCCAUUAGCUGCACAUUUUCUCAGGUUGCACACAUCCAAAUYGAGUCUAGUUUUUCUCCCCUCGCCUUGUUGCUGUUUGAGCCCUGUGCUUGUUCUUGUGGCAAACACAACUGUUGAGUCCUGCGUUGGUCUCGCAAUGCUUCCUUGAUGGGCUUUCCACAGAGAUGUCUUUAUUGGAGGUGUUGUUACAUGUCCCCAGGUUUSUUUUCCAUUCUUGCAGCUUAUUAUACAGAAGAAAUAAGAGGGAGGACAACAGAACAGGGCUAAUUAAAGCAUUGGCAAACUUAUUUUUGCUGUGAAGAGUGUGGGUGGGAACUGUACAGGUUGCAGCCAUCUCAUGACUUUUUUUUGUGAUUGUUUUUUUCCCCUCCUUGUAAAAAUAGUUUAGCGGGAGGGAAACAAAUAGUAAGUUCUUAGGUGAGAUGAUAUAUCACAGUGUGCUUUAAACUGCCAAGAGCCUUUCAGUUCCUGCACAGCUGUGACUUUGUUAAAUGUCUGCAAAUCUCUUCAAGUGGAGAAAACAUUUCAUUGCAAUCUCUUCCC